UGAAUCUCAUUUCAACAGAAUAGACUACCUAAAAAGUCAUUGUAGUAUCAUAUACCUGAUGCAAGGUCUAAAACUGACGUAGAGAAUAAUGAAAGAAGUAGAUGUAACAGUUAUCCAAAUGACUUACAAUAAAUUGGCUCCGUCGGAAAUGAGUAGAUCUGAAAACGAAUAGAGAACGACGAGCGGAACCUCAAUGACGACCUCUAACGAAACCUGAUUUUCCGACUCACAUCGACUACUCUUGGCAUGUUUCGAACUAGAACAGAGAUUCAAGGGGUGGUUUGCUGGUGAGUUUUUAAAACAUCAACUACUCAGUUGUUUUUCAUAUUUUUAGGAUGAAACAUAAAACAACUGGAUGUUUGAAAGCUUCUUCAGUUCUGUGACUAAUACGUUCGAGUAAAUGGAUGAGAAAGCUUCGAUGGUGGCUUCAUGGUUGAGAGGUGGAGAAGAUCGGUUGCUUGUGGUGUACUGAGGAAGAAGAAUGACCCAGCCAGAAAAUGAGAGGGGGCUGCCGGAUUUUCAAUCGGAGAAAAAGAAGCUAUGCUGGGUGUCCCGACUCCCGAAGAAGACGACCAGGGGGUUCUGUAUUGCGGCGCUACUAC
rnacentral:lncRNA from 1 species